UGGAGUUUUUUUGAUUCUGUG
rnacentral:piRNA from 1 species